rnacentral:lncRNA from 10 species
GGAGGACCUCAUCCGGGCAUGUUGCUUUGACGUUCCCUGAGACAGACAUCCGGAUUUGGCGAUCUGGGAGAGAGCUAGAGCAGUGAUGGGAAUUUGGGCUUUCGCGGAAGAAAAAAAGUAACAGGACCGGGUAGAACACCCGGUAGAUAUGACAUGAGAUAUGACGGGAGGUGGGUCGGGAAAUCGAGAGCGUUCUCCUGUCUUGACUCCCCAUCCCUUCCCUCUCACCACCCACUCCACCCCAGGUGAUAAAGCCUGAAAGGUAGAGAUCCAACAGCGCUAGCGGUUGAAACGUUUUUUAAAAUAGAGAAAGCGAGAGGACCGACGGCGGCUCCGGUGACUGCUGAGUUUCCAGACAAGGGAGCUCUGUGCAAUGAGGGGCGCACAGGAGCAUGCCCUCAAUUCCAAGAAGAUCAGGUAGCCGGAAAAUUUAUUAAGCGCUUACUGUGUGCCACCUGCGUGUUUUCUGUCCAAAUCAGAAAAGGAUUUGGACAGAAAACACGCAGGAAGAAGGAAUCAACCCCUGGUACAGCAGGCAGGCGAGGUAGGGGUAGGAGUUAUGCACGUGUAUGCAAGCCUGGAUGGCUGGGAAGCCAACCUCCAUCUAAAGGCAAGCGCGGACAUGCACACACACACACACGCCUCACAAGUUGGAUUGCAAGAGAGGGUGAAGUGGGCGAGGAGACCCAGUCAGCCGUGGCAUUUGAGGAAGGUACAUUUAGGCCACCGAAUUCAUUCCACCAACUUUGCACACUUGUCUUCCUUGUGCCAGGCUCUGGGACUCAUUCCUUUUGAGGGUAAAAGUCUGCCUCCCUGGACUCCUGCCCCUCAGGCGCUCCCACAGCCCGGCACCGCCCCCUCGCCAUUCCGGAGCCAGCGCGGGCUAAGCGGGCCUGGCCGGGGAUGAGCGGAGCCACCGUCCCCAUAUUCCUCGGUGCCCCGGGACCGCAAGAGGGAGCCGUGGUUUCCGGAACUCCUCCCGCCCCUCCGGGCUUUUCCUCUGUUAGGCAGGUGGCGAUUCGCUGUCUUUGCCUGUUAUGGCCGCUGCCGUCGCCCUGGAGACAGGUAACCCUCUUCCAUGACUGUUCCUUAAAGUGGUGCGCUGUCCCAGUAGACCAUGCUCUAGCUUUCCAAGCUGCUAGAACUGUCAGUGUUUCUCAGCCUUGGCACUAUUGACAUUUUGGGACCAGUGAUUCUUCAUCGUUGGCAGAGGGGAGGGUGUUGACCUGUGCACUGUAGGAUGUCAGGUGGCAUCCCCGGACUCUACCCGCUAGGUGCCAGUAGCACCUAAUGUGCCACCCACCCCCUCCCAACAACUUUUCAACCAAACUAAAAUGUCUCUAGAGGUUGCCAUAUAUCCUCUGGGGGACAAAAUCACACUUAGUUGAGAACCACUGUCCCACAUUCUACACACAGAAGCCAAAAGGAUAUUUUUUAAAUGUAAAUGGCAUCAUGUCGUUCCCCUGUUGGAAACCCUUCAAUGUUUUCCUGUUGACCUUAGAAUAAUCUCAAAUUCCUUACUGUGGCUUAGAAGACCUUCUGUGGACUGGCCCCUGCUUGCUUUUAACUCCUCUCUUCCGUUCUGCUUCCAUGUCUAUAUAAUUGCUUCUCUCUCACUCCAGCCACACUGGCCUUCUUUCUGUUCCUUGAACAUUCAAAGCUGGUUCCCAUCCACCCUUUGUAUUUGCUGUUCUUCUGCCUAGAAUGCACCUGUUCCAGAUCACUGUUCAUUCACACAUAUCUCAGAUUACAUGUUAACUAAUCAGCAAGGCCUUCCCUGACCAUUUUAUCAAAAGAAGCCACUUACUUCCAUUCUCUAUCACAUUACCCAUGUAUUUCCUUCAUAGUGCUAAUCACAAUAGAAAAUUGUCUUGUUUCAUCAUUGCUUGUCUGCCUUUUCA